GGGUUGUGAGGUUAAGCGACUAAGCGUACACGGUGGAUGCCCUGGCAGUCAGAGGCGAUGAAGGACGUGCUAAUCUGCGAUAAGCGCCGGUAAGGUGAUAUGAACCGUUAUAACCGGCGAUUUCCGAAUGGGGAAACCCAGUGUGACUCGUCACACUAUCAUUAACUGAAUCCAUAGGUUAAUGAGGCGAACCGGGGGAACUGAAACAUCUAAGUACCCCGAGGAAAAGAAAUCAACCGAGAUUCCCCCAGUAGCGGCGAGCGAACGGGGAGGAGCCCAGAGCCUGAAUCAGCAUGUGUGUUAGUGGAAGCGUCUGGAAAGGCGCGCGAUACAGGGUGACAGCCCCGUACACAAAAGCGCAUGUGCUGUGAGCUCGAUGAGUAGGGCGGGACACGUGGUAUCCUGUCUGAAUAUGGGGGGACCAUCCUCCAAGGCUAAAUACUCCUGACUGACCGAUAGUGAACCAGUACCGUGAGGGAAAGGCGAAAAGAACCCCGGCGAGGGGAGUGAAAAAGAACCUGAAACCGUGUACGUACAAGCAGUGGGAGCACAGGUUUACCUGUGUGACUGCGUACC
rnacentral:rRNA from 1 species